UAUUUCAGCGUAACCCUAACUUUAGUAGGUGAGCUCACGGGGCUCAAACCUGACGAUAUCCUGAUCUAACCGAAACACAAUUUGAUAAACUUCUGCGGCUACAAAAUAUCUGUUUAAGUUUCAUAUUUGGUUUACGGAAAUAGGAUCAUGUAUCUGAAUUUCACGCUAAAUUGAAGUGGUUGCCAAUUCGCAUUUGUUGUAAUACUUAUAUCCUUUCUUUACUAGAUUGUAUUCUCUUUUACCCCCAUAUCCGCACAUAUCCCAAAGAACGUUUCGAGUUCCGAGUUCCUAAUACGUAUAAUUUUUCCCUGAGAUCAUCGGAUUGCCUGAGACUGAAAAUGCCUGCGCAUUUAUCAUUCUUUAAUAAUUCAUUCACCAUCCAGGCUAUUCGAUUGUGGAAUGCAUUGUCGGCUGCAGUGAGAAGUGCUCCAACUUUGAACUAAUAAUGCUGAAGGAACAUUAGUUAUCUGCUUAUUGUGGUUUCCUUGUCUAAAGCUUCAUCAAUUCCAUACUGUUGAUCUAAUAUACUAUACAUACUAUGAAGUUAGAGCUGAUGUCUCAGGAAUAUUAUUAUUCUAAGCAUUCAGAGAUGGCGCGACAUCGUGAGACGCAUCAAGUCUGCCCCUUCCAACACUACAUGACGAUCACGACCACUCUGUCAAGAGUGACACGACUGAGAAGAAAAUAUUAUUAUUGAAAAUAAUCAUUUGUUAAUUUGGUAUCUUUUGUCAUUGACAAAAUCCUUUGUUUGCAGUGACCUUGACCAUUACAAAGCAUAUAACCCGUCGAUAUCUACAAAAUUAACAAUUCGAGCGAAAUCAACCCUUGUAAAACUACUGUGUUUGAAAAACGUACUAAUUCCUUCUAAUAACAAAGGUGAACAUUUCUAGGAUAACAUUUCUUUUUUGAAAACAUUACAUAGGUACCUUAAAAUUAAACAGUUUUUUUAAAUA